ACACCAGUUGGCAAAUCAACAUCUCCAGGAGAUCAUAUCUUAAAUGUGAAGUGAGCAGUUAAUGUUCCUAAACUACCUCUUAUUUUAAAGCCAUAGGAAAUCUUUUUUUUUUUUUUUUUUUUUUUUUGAGGCGGGGGAUAUCUUCCCAAACUCCUUGCAUGACAAGAAAUCUGCACAGAAGAUAGGAAGACCGGGUCACCCUGGGCCCCCUCAGCGACGUGGUUGCUUUAUGUUCUGUUGAGAAACCAUGGAGCCACUAUGCGAAGAAAGCCUGUUCUUUUUACUGGUGCCAAGAAAAAGAUUAGCACCAUGCAUUUGGAAAACAUCAGUUGAUUGAAUUCUGCAGAUUUUCAAUAUGUGGACAUAUUUC
rnacentral:lncRNA from 1 species